GUCCAUACAGUUGACUACAUGUUUAUUGAAUUUCCUUAUUACCAGUAGAAGAAAUGCCUGAAGAAAAGCAGAAUAAUCAGAGUUGUGUGAAUGAAAUGGAGGGCGUGGAACUGUUUGCAGCUGCAGUUUAGAGCCUUUUGCAGAUUCCUGCUUAGGAUUCAAUCUACCCAAGCUGCUUUCAGAUUAUUAUCACCAGGGUUUCUUCAAGACAGCAG
rnacentral:lncRNA from 1 species